CCUACGGGGGGCAGCAGUGGGGAAUAUUGCACAAUGGGGGAACCCUGAUGCAGCAACGCCGCGUGAGCGAUGAAGGCCUUCGGGUCGUAAAGCUCUGUCCUAAGGGAAGAAUACUGACGGUACCUUAGGAGGAAGCCCCGGCUAACUACGUGCCAGCAGCCGCGGUGAUACGUAGGGGGCUAGCGUGAUCCGGAAUUACUGGGCGUAAAGGGUGCGUAGGCGGCCCUUCAAGUCAGAGGUGAAAGGCUACGGCGCAACCGUAGUUAGCCUUUGAAACUGUAGGGCUUGAGUUCAGGAGGGGAGAGUGGAGUUCCCAGUAUAGUGGUGAAAUGCGUAGAUAUUGGGAGGAACACCAGUGGCGAAGGCGGCCCUCUGGACUGUAACUGACGCUGAGGCACUAAAGCGUGGGGAGCGAACAGGAUGAGUUACCCGUGUAGUC
rnacentral:rRNA from 1 species